rnacentral:rRNA from 1 species
AGAACGAACGCUGGCGGCAGGCUUAACACAUGCAAGUCGAGCGAUCGCAGCAAUGCGGGAGCGGCAGACGGGUGAGUAACGCGUGGGAACGUACCCUCCGGUUCGGAAUAACUCAGGGAAACUUGAGCUAAUACCGGAUACGGUCGAGAGGCGAAAGAUUCAUCGCCGGAGGAUCGGCCCGCGUUCGAUUAGCUAGUUGGCGGGGUAAUGGCCCACCAAGGCGACGAUCGAUAGCUGGUCUGAGAGGAUGAUCAGCCACAUUGGGACUGAGACACGGCCCAAACUCCUACGGGAGGCAGCAGUGGGGAAUAUUGGACAAUGGGUGCAAGCCUGAUCCAGCCAUGCCGCGUGAGUGAUGACGGCCUUAGGGUUGUAAAGCUCUUUCGCUAGGGACGAUAAUGACGGUACCUAGACAAGAAGCCCGGCUAACUUCGUGCCAGCAGCCGC